GAGAAGGGACGAGCGACAAUCUUCUCCAUUACAAAUGUUGAUUAACAGAGACGAGCGACAAUCUUCUCUUCUCCAUUACAAGUGUUGAUUCAAAGGAUUUGUAAUUAAGACUUGUUCAUCAGAUUUGCAAGAGUUGAUUGAUUUGGCUUGGAUUUGCGUUACUUGGUCCUAUCAACACUGAUGACACCACAAGUGCUGCUGAUAUGGAUUAGAAGAUCAAGAUUCAAGACUACUGCAUCACUAGCUGCACUGCUAGUUGUUCUUUUUUUUUUCUUCAGAUUUUCUCAUUUUCAAGACUUAGUGUGUGUGUCUGUGGCUACUGCCUACUGCUAAUUGUUGUUUUUUCGGAUUUCCCAGACUUUAGUGUGUGUGAUUGUGAGAUUGUCAGUUUGUGUGCUACACUGCUACUGCCUACUGUUACUCAGGUUUUCAAGACUUUGUUUGUUUGGUUUGCUAGUAAUAUAGCUACUUAUUAAUUGUUGCUUUGUUCUAAGUAUGAGUUAUUACUUAAUAUAUUGAAAAAC